UCAACAUACAUCCCUCAAAGGCUUUUAGGUUCCCAAAUUGAUCUGCCCUCCUCUUCUCUCAUAUGCUUUCACUCCAUCGCUCCUCUUCCGUCCCAAUCUUCAAGCUUCCAUCGUCAUCCAUUGUUCCUCUUCCGUCCCAAUCUUCAAGUUUCCAUCGUCAUCCAUUGUUCCUCUUCCGUCGCUCCUCUACUCGAAUCAGGCAGGGGAUUUUGUUUCUCAAGUAAUUUCUGAUGAGAAGGAUGUAUAUUGGAAUCUGCUGAGUUAUAUGGAUGGAGUUGUACAAGUUAUAGCGAAUUCAAGAUGGGUAGAGAGAUAAGGGUACAAAAGCAUAACACAUCAUCAUCAAGUAGUUGUUCUCUAAAAACAACAAAUCAUUGUGCCAAACCGCCGGUUGAAGCUACAGUCUCAAGUUGAUAAAUACUACUACUUUGACACACAAGAUAAGAUAAGAUGGAUACGUGCUAUCAAUGUCUAUGUAUGCUAUAAUAACAAUAUUGCUUUAUUUCAAUGGUAAUUUUUAUUUAUUCUGUUU